CAGAGGGGCAAGCGUUGUUCGGAAUUACUGGGCGUAAAGGGCGCGUAGGCGGCCUGUUAAGUCGAACGUGAAAUCCCCGGGCUCAACCCGGGAACUGCGUCCGAUACUGGCAGGCUUGAAUUCGGGAGAGGGAUGCGGAAUUCCAGGUGUAGCGGUGAAAUGCGUAGAUAUCUGGAGGAACACCGGUGGCGAAGGCGGCAUCCUGGACCGAGAUUGACGCUGAGGCGCGAAAGCCAGGGGAGCAAACGGGAUUAGACACCCCGGUAGUCCUGGCCCUAAACGAUGAAUGCUUGGUGUGGCGGGUAUCGAUCCCUGCCGUGCCGAAGCUAACGCAUUAAGCAUUCCGCCUGGGGAGUACGGUCGCAAGGCUG
rnacentral:rRNA from 1 species